rnacentral:rRNA from 1 species
UACGAAGGGGGCUAGCGUUGUUCGGAAUUACUGGGCGUAAAGGGCGCGUAGGCGGCCAUUCAAGUUAGGUGUGAAAGCCCUGGGCUCAACCUAGGAAUUGCACUUGAUACUGUUUGGCUUGAGUUCGGGAGAGGUGAGUGGAAUUCCCAGUGUAGAGGUGAAAUUCGUAGAUAUUCGCAAGAACACCAGUGGCGAAGGCGGCCAACUGGUCCGGUACUGACGCUGAGGUGCGAAAGCGUGGGGAGCAAACAGG